rnacentral:rRNA from 1 species
AAUGAACGCUGGCGGCAUGCCUUACACAUGCAAGUCGAACGGCAGCAUGACCUAGCUUGCUAGGUUGAUGGCGAGUGGCGAACGGGUGAGUAAUGCAUCGGAACGUGCCUUUUAGUGGGGGAUAACGUAGCGAAAGUUACGCUAAUACCGCAUAUUCUCUGAGGAGGAAAGCAGGGGACCUUCGGGCCUUGCGCUAGAAGAGCGGCCGAUGUCGGAUUAGCUAGUUGGUGAGGUAAAGGCUCACCAAGGCAACGAUCCGUAGCGGGUCUGAGAGGAUGAUCCGCCACACUGGGACUGAGAAACGGCCCAGACUCCUACGGGAGGCAGCAGUGGGGAAUUUUGGACAAUGGGCGCAAGCCUGAUCCAGCCAUGCCGCGUGAGUGAAGAAGGCCUUCGGGUUGUAAAGCUCUUUCGGCUGGGAAGAAAUCGCACCCUCUAAUACAGGGUGUGGAUGACGGUACCAGCAUAAGAAGCACCGGCUAACUACGUG